AGGUGAUUACAUAUGAAAGUGAUGCUGAUGAAGAUGUUGUUGGUGAUGUAGUUGGUGACUAUAUGCGGCUUUCAUCUUCCUGUGAUGCCUAUCGGUCUCAUAAUGACCCAAAAGGGAAGGCAAAGAUUGUAUUUGGUCACGAGACUGUAUCUCCAAUGGCUAAACCAAAGGGUAAGGUAUCCAGAUCCUUGACAUCCACGUCUCAUAUGCC